AUCUACAGUGUUGUAUUAUCGAGCCAUACGUUAAUGAGGUUCGAGCACUAGCGAUUUCAUGUAUAAAUACUUGUUGCUACAAGGUUCAUCCAUAUCCUUUGGAACAAUUGUCCAAACUAUUGAUGAUGAAGGAAUCGGAUGUGGAAUCCCUUUGUCAUGCAUGCGGUCUCGAGACUUUGAU